UACCAGCUCCUCGAGUGGUCGGGGCGAUUAUUGGGCCUAAAGCAUCCGUAGCCUGUUCUGUAGGUCCGCUGUUAAAUCCAACGGCUUAACCGUUGGCCUGCAGCGGAUACCGCAGGACUAGGAGGCGGGAGAGGUGGACGGUACUCCACGUGUAGGGGUAAAAUCCUUUGAUCCGUGGAAGACCACCAGUGGCGAAGGCGGUCCACCAGAACGCGCUCGACGGUGAGGGAUGAAAGCUGGGGGAGCGAACCGG
rnacentral:rRNA from 1 species